rnacentral:lncRNA from 1 species
UGAUAGAGCUUGUACAGAAAUACGGUCCGAAACGUUGGUCUGUUAUUGCCAAGCACUUAAAGGGGAGAAUUGGAAAACAAUGUAGGGAGAGGUGGCAUAACCACUUGAAUCCAGAAGUUAAGAAAACCUCCUGGACAGAAGAGGAAGACAGAAUUAUUUACCAGGCACACAAGAGACUGGGGAACAGAUGGGCAGAAAUCGCAAAGCUACUGCCUGGACG